rnacentral:tRNA from 1 species
GCCUGACUGGCUUAGUUGGUCAAGCAUGUGACUCUCGAUCUCCGGGUUGUGAGUUCGAGUCCCACACUGGGCG